rnacentral:rRNA from 1 species
CAAGUCGAACGGUAACAGGAAGCAGCUUGCUGCUUCGCUGACGAGUGGCGGACGGGUGAGUAAUGUCUGGGAAACUGCCUGAUGGAGGGGGAUAACUACUGGAAACGGUGGCUAAUACCGCAUAACGUCGCAAGACCAAAGAGGGGGACCUUCGGGCCUCUUGCCAUCAGAUGUGCCCAGAUGGGAUUAGCUUGUUGGUGAGGUAACGGCUCACCAAGGCGACGAUCCCUAGCUGGUCUGAGAGGAUGACCAGCCACACUGGAACUGAGACACGGUCCAGACUCCUACGGGAGGCAGCAGUGGGGAAUAUUGCACAAUGGGCGCAAGCCUGAUGCAGCCAUGCCGCGUGUAUGAAGAAGGCCUUCGGGUUGUAAAGUACUU